GAUGAACGCUGGCGGCGUGCCUAAUACAUGCAAGUCGAACGAGGUGCUUUUGUAGCAAUACGAGAGUAUCCUAGUGGCGAACGGGUGAGUAACGCGUGGAUGACCUGCCCCAAAGUGUGGGAUAACAGUCCGAAAGGAUUGCUAAUACCUCAUGUGGUUAUCGGUUUUAGAAAGCGAUAACUAAAGCAGCAAUGCGCUUUGGGAGGGAUCUGCGUCCCAUCAGCUAGUUGGUGAGGUAACGGCUCACCAAGGCGACGACGGGUAGGGGACCUGAGAGGGUGGCCCCCCACAAUGGAACUGAAACACGGUCCAUACACCUACGGGUGGCAGCAGUGGGGAAUUUUGGACAAUGGGCGCAAGCCUGAUCCAGCCAUGCCGCGUGAGUGAAGAAGGCCUU
rnacentral:rRNA from 1 species